ensembl:lncRNA
CAAGUUGGCGUUCAUGAAAAAUAAUCUGACUUCCAUAUGUAAGGGCGAGUUGGAAAGGAAAAACUAAUUCCAAGAGAACAGGCAAUAGACUAGGAAAUUAUGUUGUAAGAAGUAGAGCUGCAAUCAUAUUUCUAAAUCUAUUCCUUGUCUUAAAUGUAUUUGUUCAUUUAACACUUUUCAGACAGGGCUGAACUGAUAAACACAGCAGACCAUGCAGUUAGGAUAAAAAUCAUGCAUGUCCUAAAUUUCAUUUCUCCCCAGCUACCUUUUCAGUCUUCAGUGACUUUAGGACAAUCGCAGGAAUCUAAAUUCCUUUUAAGCAGUGUGUGAUAGACACUGUUGACUAGCCACACAGUUUCAGUUCCUCCUUACUAACUAACAAAACCUAAUUUUGGAGUUCCUGUCAUGGCUCUGUGGUUAACGAAUCUGACCAGCAUCCAUGAGGAUGAAGGUUCGAUCCCUGGCCUUGCUCAGCAGGUUAAGGAUUUGGCGUUGCAGCGAGCAGUGGUGUAGGUCGCCGAUGUGGCUUGGAUCUGGCAUUGCUGUGGCUGUGGUGUAGGCGGGCAGCUGCAGCUCCGAUGUGACCCCUAGCCUGGGAACCUCCAUGUGCUGUGAGUGCGGACCUAAAAAGCCAAAUCAAACAGACAGACACCACCCUCCUCUCCUUCAGCCACCCACCUCAGCCCUCCACACGCUCCCUCCUGGACCAGAGAGUGGUGUUGGAUCUGGGUGAUGAUUCCAUUCCUUUGCUAAAGAUGCUUAGAAAACCCAGCCUUAAGCCGAUCAGUGCGCGGUUUCUGCUCUGCACCACUACGGGUUGCCCCCAGUAGACACCGUUUUCCCUGCAGCUGGCGGAGCUGCCUUUUUGUCUCCAUCACUCCCCUCACUAGUGGCAGUCAUUCUGUGACCCUGGCAGAAGCCAGUCUGCGGACAGAACUGAAGCUAGAGGAAGGCUGAGAGGAGCACUGCCGGAUCCCAGGGGGAGUUCGGAUUGCACGAUGACUGGGGUUGUAACCCUGUCUUUGAACGUCUGUAUUUUUGCAAAAGCCAAAACGAUGGGCGUGUUCGGCUGCUUGCAGACAAACGUCACCCUAAGGACGGGUGUAUGCAAGGAAAAGAGAGUGGAAAUGCACUGCAGCAGAGACAGCAUCUUGUGCGAUGCUCAGUGGAGCACCUGGCUAAGUACUGCCGAAUGAGGGAAAGCUGCGUUCUCAUCUGAGUCCUCAUUCUAAUUCGGAUGCGCAGAGGGGUCAGUUCCCUUGAGAAGCUGCGUCUUCCAAGUCAGGAUUUUCCUAGGGGUCUUCCAGCCGGUGAUAUUUACUCAUCUCCAUCAUGUCUGAAAAACCAUGCAAAGUAGUGUUAACAGCUAACUCUUAAAGAAAUAAUGUUGCUAUUAAACAUCAUUCGCUAGCCCUCUCAUAAGCGUUUGACAGGUAUCAACCCAUUUUUUUUUUUGAAAAAGAUUUAAAAGAGCCAAGAAGCCUGUAAGGGGAUCUAUUCAUGUGUUGUUUUGUAGAUGAGCGACAGCAAGAGAGAUGAAGAGUUUUCAUGCUCUGUCCACGGUUGUCAGACAACCAGUAAGAGAUGGAGGUGGGGUUUCACCUCAGGCCAUCUAGCUUGACUGCUUUUAUGCAGCAAACAGAAGGCGGUUUUCCUAAUGAAAAGCAGCAAAGGUGGUAAAGAAUUUUGAGGGCCACUGGCUAUGCAGCGUAUUCUGGGGAUCGGGAAGAAAUGAGACAAGGGGUAAAUUGACUCUGGUUUGUAAUCUCUCACCUCAGACUUGGCCCUGACAGUUACGUUUGCCAGUGAGAAGCCACUGGCCACAUGUGGCUGUAAGCCCUUGGAAUGUGGCUGCUGUGAUUUGGAUGUGCUAUACGCGUAAAACUGACACCAGAUUUUGAGGACUUAAUAAGAAAAAAGGAUAUAAAAUCUCUCUUUUAUAAUGAGCUAUCUGGAUCACAUGCUGAAAUGAUAAUAUUCUGAAUAUUCUGGGUAAUGUAGGAUAAAUAAGUUAAUUUUAUUUGUCUACAUAUUUUCAUUUGGUUAUAAGACUUAAAAUGACAUGUAUGGGUAUUAUAUUAUCUUUUUAUUGGACAGCACUACUUUAGGGGUUUUGUGUUCAGUGCUGUUUGUAGGUUCUCUCUACAUUUUUCUGGAUUAAAAACUAUCUCAGAGAUACUUUACUAAUAGUAGCACUUUCCAUAGCAGAUGGGUUAUUACAUUUUUUUUCCCUCUGAAAUGAGUGUUAGCAGUCGCUUCUCAGCCUUUUGGCUAAGACCAAGUGAAAUUAGUGUUCACAGCCACUCCUAAAAUGCUAGUCAUCUUUACUAGCACUUUUGUAGAAGGCUUUGCAGAAUUCUGGAAUCUGAAAACAGAAGUAGAAGAAAUUAGGGAGAGGUAGAACUUAAAAGUCCUGACAUCUGGGUUGCCGUGCUCAGGGGCCACUUCUGGAAGAAAGCACUCUCUGUGCAAAGGCACAGCUUUGUGCCAAAUGGGGAUUUAAUACUGUAAACUUCCCCGUUUUUGUAUUAUAAACAGGGCAAUGGUCUACUAAGUACCACCUGCUUUUCAAACCAAAGCUUUAUGUCUGGUCUUCCUCAGACUGCACCAUGGCUCACAUAAACUGCAUGGUUUUUUUAGUUCUUUCAAUAUUGUAGUUGAAAAAUGUACCCAGCGUAGAUUAGCUGUAGUUGCAUUCUGAAGCUAAAGACGGAGAGCUUGGGCUGGAAGUGGGGGUAAGUCUAUGAGACUGAAAGUUGCAAAUGCAUUAAAAAAAAAAAAAAAAA